UUCUCCUUAUCCCUUAACUCGUUCCUGCUCUUUCUCCACCAUUCGUUCUCUCCUUAUCCUUCUCCGAGAUCCACCAGCGGCCACCCGACGACACCCCUUUCCCCUCCCCUUUCUGUAUCUCCCGGCCAGGGCAGUCACAGAGGCGGCGGCGGUCGGGCGUUUGCCGGCGCACGCGUGUGUGCACGUCGCGUGCAGAUCCGUCGAUCUCGCGUGCCUGCGUCACGCGCGUGGCCGAGGGCGGCUGCCGCUGCACGCCGGCGAGCCGGCCACCAGGACGCGCCGGUGACGACGCAGGCCAUGGAGAGCUUUGGCUGCCGUCGUCCUCCACGCGCAGGCGCAGCUCGCGCCACGGGGAGAUCUCCUUCCCGGCGUCCUCCAUGAGGCGAUUCUGCCGCAGCAGUACUCCGACGUGAUGCGUCCCGGCGGUCACUUCCCACGACCUCGCUGGGAACAAGUCCGCCCCCGUGUGGCCGGAGGCGUGCGGGAGAAGAGGAGAAUCACAGCGAGAUGCAAGACCUGCCGGCUAGGUGCCGUGCCGGAGGUGUUGGCUAGGUGCUGGGCCAUGGAGGUGCCCAUUAGUAGGCGAUGUCGUUGGCGAGCUGAGACGGGCAACGUCUUCGGCGAGCUGAGAUGGAGCUAGCGACGAGAAGGCGACGUCGCCGGCGAGCUGAGAAGGAUGACGUCAUGGGAGUCUUUGUGUUUUCUAAACAUACUGUUGGUCUGUGCGUUAUAAUGCGUUGUAGUAUAGUACCUGUUCUGUUAAAAUAAAAAGACAACACGAUGAAUGUGUGGA